rnacentral:rRNA from 1 species
CCUACGGGGGGCAGCAGUGGGGAAUAUUGCACAAUGGGGGAAACCCUGAUGCAGCGACGCCGCGUGAGUGAAGAAGUAUUUCGGUAUGUAAAGCUCUAUCAGCAGGGAAGAAAAUGACGCUCCCUGAUUCAGAAGCCCCGGCCAACUACGUGCCCGCAGCCGCGGUAAUACGUAGGGGGCACGCGUUAUCCGGAUUUACUGGGUGUAAGGGGAGCGUAGACGGAAGCGCAAGUCUUAAGUGAAAUGCCGGGGCUUAACCCCUGAACUGCUUUGGAAACUGUGCAGCUAGAGUGCAGGAGAGGUGAGUGGAAUUCCUAGUGUAGCGGUGAAAUGCGUAGAUAUUAGGAGGAACACCAGUGGCGAAGGCGGCUUACGGGACUGUAACUGACGUUGAGGCUCGAAAGCGUGGGGAGCAAACAGGAUUAGAUACCCCAGUAGUC